AAGAAACAGAGGAAAAGCAAUUUUAUUAUUUGGAGGGAGGUUAUCAAAAUCAGUUUUCAUAAAAGUCCUGGUUUAUAUAUUAGAGUAGUAGUGCAUAUUUUUUAUUUCAUUGGGCUUUAAGUGCAGCAGAAACAGGGAGGCGCUAAGGAUCCCACAAGUGUGUUUUACAAACUUUGAAACUGAGUUAAGGGAUUGCUUUCUUCUCUGCCCUUUGCUGCAGAGGGUGGGGCAGAAACAAGUUUGUUAACCAGCCUUUGGAUAAAUGAGUGUUUGCAGUGAUUUAACAUGACUUGAAAGCAAUUUGUUUCUAAAUCCUCUUAUUAUUGCUAUGUGCCCAGAGCUUUGAGGGAAGUGUUUUUUUUGUUUUUUUUUUUUUUCUUUUUUAGAAUUGGAAGAAAAAAAUUACUUUAUCAAUAACCAGGCUCCACCAGGAUUGACCAAGAUGUUUAUUCCUGGCACUUGUCAUUCUCAGCAAGCACAGAACAGAGAGCAAAUACAAAAGGCCCAAAGUGCAUUGCAUCUUUUAUGGAAACUUGUCCAAUUUGAUGUCAAUGGAAAUGCGUGAGAUCUUUAUUCAGCUUUCACACCUGAGCAAUGCUUUUGGUCAUGAUGUCAUACUAAGAAGAAACCCCCUGAGAUGAGAAUGUUAGAUGUUAAGAGUGAGUAUGACUGAUACAGAAAGACAUUUGCUGCCCUACGUAGAAUCAGGAGGUAUUUUAAUUUUGAAGCAUGUUGCAGGGUGAAGUUAAAAAGAAAGGUUGAUUAACCUGUUAUAUUUAAAAUGAUGUCUUGAAUUUCAAGUCAGAGGGGACACUGUUUAGCUUCUAGUUUCUCUGUUCUUCAACCUUCUGAAAUGGAGAUACUUCAGUUCAAAUAUGGUAUGUUGGUUUUUUCUUCUCUUGGGUUGAUGGCUAACCCCAGUCUUCUUUAUUCCAUAACUGACACACUCAUAUUGUUUGUGGUUUAGAUAUUAUGGAGUUUGUAAAUACUUAACUCUGUAUUUUGGCUAUCUAAUAAGGCAUAGGUCGGUUGUCCAGAGUGCAAGAGUUUAAGUGGAAAUGUACACACAUGCACACCUGUGUGCACACACAUACACGUGAGGAAAAAAUGGCAUUGCAGUUAAAACUUUGUUUUGUCAUAAAAAAUAGAAACAGAUCUGUGAAAC
rnacentral:lncRNA from 1 species